rnacentral:lncRNA from 1 species
GAUCAUAUGACACAUAUAUUUCAAAAAAAUCACAUAUUUCACAUCAAAGAGCCUAUAGCUCACAUAUUCGACAUCGAUAACAAUAUAUACCACAUAAUCCACAUAAAUUAUCAUUUCCAUCACUUUGUCCAUCAUAACAAGUCCAAAUACUCCAAACUCAGUUCACAUACAUCCAAACUAAGUCCAACAUGUUCAAUAACCACAAUUCACAAAGUUCACAUGUUUAAACAAAAUAAGUGCAUCACUGUGAAGGCCCA